rnacentral:rRNA from 1 species
CAUAGCCGCGGGAAUACAGAGGGUGCAAGCGUUAAUCGGAAUUACUGGGCGUAAAGCGCGCGUAGGUGGUUUGUUAAGUUGGAUGUGAAAUCCCCGGGCUCAACCUGGGAACUGCAUCCAAAACUGGCAAGCUAGAGUAUGGUAGAGGGUGGUGGAAUUUCCUGUGUAGCGGUGAAAUGCGUAGAUAUAGGAAGGAACACCAGUGGCGAAGGCGACCACCUGGACUGAUACUGACACUGAGGUGCGAAAGCGUGGGGAGCAAACAGGAUUAGAUACCCGCGUAGUCCCUGUCUCUUAUACA